GAGGAACUCCGAAGGCACUUGCCACAUGAUACAAGAGUCUGCUGGUGAAAGAGAGAGGACCGGAAAGCCACAAACCUACAGCCCCGACUGCAUCCAGAGAGGGAACCUGCAAACAAACUUCACAGCAAACUUUUUGUUCUUGUUCCAGAGAAUUGACUGAAGAGGAGACAGGAAACAAACAAACAAAAACAAACAAACAAACCAACCAAAACACACACACACACACCAAAACCCCAAAAAGGAAAGAGAGAGAGAAAAAAAAAAAAGCAAAAAAAAAAAAAAAAAAAAAAAAAAAAGCCCCGUGCGUGAGGGGGGAGGAAGAGCGGAGCCUUUUAAAAGGGCCGUCA
rnacentral:lncRNA from 1 species